rnacentral:rRNA from 1 species
GACGAACGCUGGCGGCAGGCUUAACACAUGCAAGUCGAACGGAAAGGCCCUGCUUUUGUGGGGUGCUCGAGUGGCGAACGGGUGAGUAACACGUGAGUAACCUGCCCUUGACUUUGGCAUAACUUCAGGAAACUGGGGCUAAUACCGGAUAGGAGCUCCUGCUGCAUGGUGGGGGUGGGAAAGUUUCGGCGGUUGGGGAUGGACUCGCGGCUUAUCAGCUUGUUGGUGGGGUAGUGGCUUACCAAGGCUUUGACGGGUAGCCGGCCUGAGAGGGUGAGCGGCCACAUUGGGACUGGGAUACGGCCCAGACUCCUACGGGAGGCAGCAGUGGGGUAUAUUGCACUAUGGGCGGAAGCCUGAUGCAGCACCGCCGCGUGCGGGAUGACGUCCUUCGGUUUGUAAACCGCUUUCGCCUGUGACGAAGCGUGAGUGACGGUAAUGGGUAAAGAAGCCCCGGCUAACUACGUG